UGUGCAAGGUGAGAGAGUGGAAGAUAAUCCCGGCAUGGAUUUGCCUCAUCUCUGCGCUUCACAGAAACCUGAACAAACAAAAUAGAGUAACCUUAUCGGCCAUCAAAACUUUAAAAACUUUCGACACCAUCUUUAGCUUGAGAGAAUUUAGCGAGAAGAAAGCUGCCCACCGUUGUGCGAACGUGUGGAUGUAUUUACGGUUUAGGGAAGAAACGAGAGAUUUGAGAUUUGCGGAUGAUUUUCAGAGUUCGAUCAGACUCAAGACAGUGCAUUGAUUGCAUGCUGACCUUCAUCCGAAGGCGACUUUGCCCUUUCCAAGGAAACCAGAACCAGGCCUUCCAACAAGAAGAACAACACGAAAUGCCAUAGCAUUCGUGAAUUUGUGAGCGCAGUGCCUGUGAAGAGAGAUUAGAGCCUCAUAAAUGCUGUCUGUAAAA